GAUGAACGCUGGCGGCGUGCCUAAUACAUGCAAGUCGAGCGAAUGGAUUAAGAGCUUGCUCUUAUGAAGUUAGCGGCGGACGGGUGAGUAACACGUGGGUAACCUGCCCAUAAGACUGGGAUAACUCCGGGAAACCGGGGCUAAUACCGGAUAACAUUUUGAACCGCAUGGUUCGAAAUUGAAAGGCGGCUUCGGCUGUCACUUAUGGAUGGACCCGCGUCGCAUUAGCUAGUUGGUGAGGUAACGGCUCACCAAGGCAACGAUGCGUAGCCGACCUGGGAGGGUGAUCGGCCUCACUGGGACUGAGACACGGCCCAGACUCCUACGGGAGGCAGCAGUAGGGAAUCUUCCGCAAUGGACGAAAGUCUGACGGAGCAACGCCGCGUGAGUGAUGGAGGCUUUCGGGUCGUAAAACUCUGUUGUUAGGGAAGAACAAGUGCUAGUUGAACAAGCUGGCACCUUGACGGUACCUAACCAGAAAGCCACGGCUAACUACGUACCAGCAGCCGCCGUAA
rnacentral:rRNA from 1 species